AACAAGUUUGUUUUCUGAAAAUUUCGCUCUGAUGUCUUGUAACAAGUUUUGUUUAUAUAUUCUGAAAGAAAAUAUGUUGUUUCUCCAUUCUGAAAGUAAAUGUCUUGUUCUGCAUAUCGAAUUUUAUAAUUGCUUAUGUUUACAUGCUAGUAUAUGCUCUCUACUUACUGAGUUGUUGAUAACUCACCCCUUAUCUCCAUAAUAUUUUUCAGAUAUUUUGAUGGUUCAGCUGAGGAUCAAGAUUUUGAGGCUUUGGGUGAGAUAAUUUAAGUAUAGUGGAGGAACAAUAGGAAGUUUU